AUUGAACGCUGGCGGCAGGCCUAACACAUGCAAGUCGAGCGGAUGAAGGGAGCUUGCUCCUGGAUUCAGCGGCGGACGGGUGAGUAAUGCCUAGGAAUCUGCCUGGUAGUGGGGGAUAACGUCCGGAAACGGGCGCUAAUACCGCAUACGUCCUGAGGGAGAAAGUGGGGGAUCUUCGGACCUCACGCUAUCAGAUGAGCCUAGGUCGGAUUAGCUAGUUGGUGGGGUAAAGGCCUACCAAGGCGACGAUCCGUAACUGGUCUGAGAGGAUGAUCAGUCACACUGGAACUGAGACACGGUCCAGACUCCUACGGGAGGCAGCAGUGGGGAAUAUUGGACAAUGGGCGAAAGCCUGAUCCGGCCAUGCCGCGUGUGUGAAGAAGGUCUUCGGAUUGUAAAGCACUUUAAGUUGGGAGGAAGGGCAGUAAGUUAAGACCUUGCUGUUUGGACGUUACCAACAGAAUAAGCACCGGCGAACUUCGU
rnacentral:rRNA from 1 species